CCUACGGGAGGCAGCAGUGAGGAAUAUUGGUCAAUGGCCGGAAGGCUGAACCAGCCAUGCCGCGUGAAGGUCAGUGCCCUAUGGGCGUUAAACUUCUUUUGUGCGGGAGCAAUAAUGGUCACGUGUGGCCAGACGAGAGUACCGUACGAAUAAGCAUCGGCUAACUCCGUGCCAGCAGCCGCGGUAAUACGGGGGAUGCAAGCGUUAUCCGGAUUUCUUGGGUUUAAAGGGUGCGUAGGCUGUGAGGUAAGUCAGCGGUGAAAUGCCCCCGCUCAACGGGGUGAAGGGCCGUUGAUACUGGCUUGCUGGAAUGCGGAUGCCGUGGGAGGAAUGUGUGGUGUAGCGGUGAAAUGCAUAGAUAUCACACAGAACACCGAUUGCGAAGGCAGCUCACG
rnacentral:rRNA from 1 species